AUUGAACGCUGGCGGCAGGCCUAACACAUGCAAGUCGAACGGUAACAGGAAGCAGCUUGCUGCUUCGCUGACGAAUGGCGGACGUGUGAGUAAUGUCUUGGAAACUGCCUGCUGGAGGGGGAUAACUACUGGAAACAGUAGCUAAGACCGCCUAACUUCCCAAGACCAAAGAGGCGGACCUUAUGGCCUCUUGCCAUCACAUUUGCCCAGAUGAGAUUAGCUAGUAGGUGGGGUACCGGCACACCUAGGCGCCGAGCCUUAGCUGGUCUGAGAGGAUGAACAGCGACACUGGAACUGAGACACGGCCCAGACUCCUAGGGGAGGCAGCAGUGGGGAAUAUUGCAGAAUGGGGGAAAGGCUGAUGCAGCAAUGCCGCGUGUAUGAAGAAGGACUUAUGGUUGUAAAGUAAUUUAAGCGGGGAGGAAGGGAGUAAAGUUAAUACCUUUGCUCAUUGACGUUACCCGCAGAAGAAGCACCGGCUAACUCCGUG
rnacentral:rRNA from 1 species